rnacentral:rRNA from 11 species
ACGGCGGCUGUCAGUGAGGAGGGUCCUAAGGUAGCAAAAUUCUUUGACAGGUAAGUUCCGUCCAGCAUGAGCGGUGUAACGACUUCCUCACUGUCACUACCCUGGUCUCUCAGAAAUUGAGUCAUCCUUGAUUACGAGGAAGCCAAUGGCCUGACGAUAAGACCCUGAGCACCUCUCCU